UAGGAGUAAAAGUCGUAACAAGGUUCCGUAGGUGAACCUGCGGAAGGAUCAUUACCGAGGUAGGGUCUCCGGGCCCGAACCCCAAACCGUGCGUACCUUAUCUUUGAAGUUGCCUUGGCGGGCUCGCCCGCCGGUGGACACGUAAACUCCUGUACCUUCAGUCUGAGUAUAAAUCAAAUAAUCAAAACUUUCAACAACGGAUCUCUUGGUUCUGGCAUCGAUGAAGAACGCAGCGAAAUGCGAUAAGUAAUGUGAAUUGCAGAAUUCAGUGAAUCAUCGAAUCUUUGAACGCACAUUGCGCCCCCUGGCAUUCCGGGGGGCAUGCCUGUUCGAGCGUCAUGACUAAAUCGAACCUCUGGUUUGGUGUUGGGCCUCCGCCUCCCCGGGCGGGCCUGAAAAGUCUGUGGCGGCCCUGCCAGCGUCGAGCGUAGUGAUUUCUCUCGCUCCGAUGACCGGUGGACGUCGCCAGCACAACUUCCAAAAGUUGACCUCGGAUCAGGUAGGGAUACCCGCUGAACUUAA
rnacentral:rRNA from 1 species